GCUGGGCGUGGUGGCGCAAGCCUGUAGUCCCAGCUACUUGGGAGGCUGAGGCAGGAGAAUUGCUUGAACCCAGGAGAUGGAGGUUGCAGUGAGCUGAGAUCGCGCCACUGCACUCCAGCCUGGGCAACAGAGCAAGACUCAGUCUCAA
rnacentral:SRP_RNA from 1 species